GUCAUCAGCAUGCUGGCCAUUCUCUUAUGUAUUGCAUCUCGACCUGACGAGUCACUCUAUGUCUUAUGUUUUUACUUAAGUUUAACUUUUUCUGAUGGAAAGAAUGGCUGUUUUAGUGUUAUUAUCAACAUUGUUGUUUCAUAGAUAAACAGAAUAUGAAAUAUUGAUAAAUGUAAAGGCAACCAAACAGGCGUCACAAUUCACAGUCUCAUUGGGGACCAUUUUUACACUUUCUCAAUCCUUGACUCUUGGUCAGGAGCCCUUGGCGUAAAUGUUUAGUUUGUCCAUUUAGUGCAGUUUGUCCAUGUGCAGGGUAUUUCACUGGUUUCAUUGAGAUACCUUUGCAUCAACAGACAAACGCUGUGGACAGGGAGAUUUAUCACAUCAGUUUAGAUGUCUUUUAUCUCAAACUCAAAUUCAGCUAUAUUUUAUGAUGACUGUGUUUAUGGAGUGGAAUUAUUUUCAGCAAUUAAUACCUCAAUGUUGAAACUUUUCACAUAAACUUAUUGUAUGACUUCAGAAGACUUUGAAUACAACACAAAUAGUUUUUAAUACUUUUAUAAUCUUUCUAGCACUAAAUGCCCAUGAGUGUAAAAAAAAAAAAAAAAAAAAAAAUUCCCUGAUUAUUUUUCAAACUACAUAAUCUAAAAGCAAACCAAUCCCAGUCAAAGUGACUUGUUUUAAAGAAUCCCCACAUCCCCCAAUUCCCCCAGCAGUGUCUGGGAAACUGAUUGUGCUCUCUUCUUAUGCUAAUAACACUAAUGUCUCCACAUUAUCACCUGGCCCUACACAGCAACAGUACCAACAGUAUCCGGGCUAACUGAGUCUCAUCCAAUCACGCUCCAGAUAUCUGGGUGGGGUUAUAUAUAUACUGUUUUCCUGACAGAAUCUACUUUGAAUUUUUUAGUUUUUUGUGAAAUAAAAUUCCAAAACCUUGAAGGACAAACUGCUUUUUGAGAUUCCUACAUUGCCUACAAGGGACCACAUACAACAAAGCCUACUAAGGCCAUUUCUCAUCUCUUUUUUCCAUUCAAGACUGAAAAGGAAAAUGAGACCCAGAAGAGUCUGUCCUGAAAAGGAAGCUUUGAAAUUCAUCGCAUCUGGGAAAGAUAAAGACAUAUUUCAGUCAAGAGUCAAGAGAAAGAUUGUUGAUGAACAGAAAAGAGCACAUUUGUGUGCAUUUGUGACCACAAACAUCACUACAGGAGAAGAAAUGAUGUUCGACUGCAGAGAUCCUGACUGCCCAUGGAGACAGGUAGCAGGAUGCUUGGUCCAUUACAGACGGAUGGACAACACCCUGAUCAGACCACUACACCCUACACCCAGGAUCCACUUGGUCUGUCUCUACAUGUCAGAACGAGUAACUUCAGUCUUCAAUGGGAUGAAAGACUAAACAUAUAUUAAGCAGAGUGAUGAGCAAAUCAGUGGAAGAGCAUCCUACUAUUGAGGAAUGCCUUCAGGAAGUCAAAACUAUGUGCAAAGACUUAUGGUAGAGUUUACAAUAAGCAUUCAAAUGAUUAGAUAUAAAUACUGGUGUGAAUUUACAGGUUUUGAUCACUGGUCUUAUCAAAUAUGAACCACAAACAGCUACAGCAAUGUCCAUGUGGUUUCAGGAAAUAGUGACACAAAUGAUGAUCUUUCUGAAAUAAGGGCUGCCAGCUCAGAAAAGACUUCAACCUUCAGUCUUGGACACAUCAGUAAAUCACUAGUGCCAUUAAAUCAAAACGGUAUUUUCCAUUCACCACAAACAAUACUGAAGAGCUGAAGAUCAUUGUCUUUUCAUGUUUUCAACUUUGUAAAGUAUGUAUUACUGACAUUACAUUUUUUUCAUUCAUUCAUAUAUUUAUUCACUAUAUAUAUUUUUUAUCUUGUAAUUUUGUUAAAUAGCAAGAGCCAGAAAGCCCUGGUCAGAAACAGAGAGGAAAGUCAUAGAACACUGUUUCAAGAUCUACUUUGAGGAAAUGAAGGCUCCUGGAAAAGUGGACUGUGAAAGAUGCAUAAAUGCAAACAGGAUUCUAAAGGAUAAUGGAAGAGACUGGAAAACAGUUAAAUACUUUGUGCUCAACAGAAUAAUUUCAGUUAAGAGAAGUUUGGGUCAACAGUACUGAGCCCAUAAACCCUGAGAGCUAUUUUUAGAGAGAUUAUGAGAAUAAAGUUUGACUUGAUUUCAUUCAAAA